AGCGAACGCUGGCGGCAGGCUUAACACAUGCAAGUCGAGCGGGCCCUUCGGGGUCAGCGGCAGACGGGUGAGUAACACGUGGGAACGUACCCUUUGGUUCGGAAUAACGCUGGGAAACUAGCGCUAAUACCGGAUACGCCCUUUUGGGGAAAGGCUUGCUGCCGAAGGAUCGGCCCGCGUCUGAUUAGCUAGUUGGUGGGGUAAUGGCCUACCAAGGCGACGAUCAGUAGCUGGUCUGAGAGGAUGAUCAGCCACACUGGGACUGAGACACGGCCCAGACUCCUACGGGAGGCAGCAGUGGGGAAUAUUGGACAAUGGGCGCAAGCCUGAUCCAGCCAUGCCGCGUGAGUGAUGAAGGCCUUAGGGUUGUAAAGCUCUUUUGUCCGGGACGAUAAUGACGGUACCGGAAGAAAAAGCCCCGGCUAACUUCGUG
rnacentral:rRNA from 1 species